CUGGCUCAGGAUGAACGCUAGCUACAGGCUUAACACAUGCAAGUCGCGGGGGCAGCAUGGAGGUUGCUUGCAAUCUCUGAUGGCGACCGGCGCACGGGUGAGUAACGCGUAUCCAACCUGGCCCUUAGUAGGGGAUAGCCCGGCGAAAGUCGGAUUAACACCCUAUGUUCUUCAAGGAUGGCAUCUGAUAUGAAGCAAAGGCUUGCCGCUAAGGGAUGGGGAUGCGUCUGAUUAGCUUGUCGGCGGGGUAACGGCCCACCGAGGCUACGAUCAGUAGGGGUUCUGAGAGGAAGGUCCCCCACAUUGGUACUGAGACACGGACCAAACUCCUACGGGAGGCAGCAGUGAGGAAUAUUGGUCAAUGGGCGAGAGCCUGAACCAGCCAAGUAGCGUGCAAGGAUGACUGCCCUAUGGGUUGUAAACUGCUUUUAUGCGGGAAUAAAGUCAGGUACGUGUACCUGUUUGUAUGUACCGCAUGAAUAAGGACCGGCUAAUUCCGUGCCAGCCGCUGC
rnacentral:rRNA from 1 species